AAGAAAACGUUCCCGCAUGGGUUUCCUUUGUAGCAGUUGCUACGAACGGGUGGAUGUCUGAUUUUUUCUUUAUUAAGUAUGGCCUAACGAAUAAGCCAUUUUACUGGCAUAUUUUGAUAACGCCUGGAAGAAGAAAAAUAAUGAAAUAUUUCUUGCCAAAUUUAAGGAAUGCCAGUUUUAUUUAUUUAUUUAUUUAUUUAUUUAUUUAUUUAUUUAUUUAUUUAUUUAUUUCCAGAAGAGGAAUACGAGACAGUUAAAAUGGAAGAAAUAGGAAUGCAUGCGUAUAGUCACGCGUUAACUAUGCAACAUGGGUUACAUUGUGUACAAGUCGAAGCGUAUAGCACCGUGUGUUUUCAUAUCUUCGUCACGUCAUAACACUACGUUGAUUGUAACCGAAGAAACGAGCGCGAAACGGUUCCAAUUUUCGAAUCUCGCAGAACGCGUCGCAUCCCACGCCAGGAGCCCGCCGCGCUGCUGCCAUCUCUCCACAGCGACGCGAACCACAUUCGCGAAGCAUCGUUUCGGAUGGCGUUUCUCCGCCUUUUUUCUCGUUUGAUUUGGGCGCCUGUAUAACUGCUGCGCUUGGUUCUUGCAGUGUGUAGCACCUAGCGAGCAGUCUCAAGUUCUUUCCCAGUUUUUCGACCAGUGCUUCGUCGAAAAAUGAUUGGCCUACGACCGAUAUCUCACGUUUUUCCUUGAUCACUUUUUCGUAGCAGGUAUCUCCGUACGAAACGAAUGGAGUGAAAAAUCGAACAUCAUGACGUAAUGCUGAAUUAAGUGUUCCCCACCGAGAUCCAAGCAUGCGCGGUGACAACGACGAAAAAAAAUAAGUCUUACAAAAGCGCGCGAAAAGUUCUUUUCGCGCCAAACCAGCACUGGGUUAGCUAUCGGCAGAUGGCGGUAGCAUUCACGGCACCCUGUUAGCUCGAGUCGAGGAAAGUGAGGAAACGCGUGAAUUUGUAUCUGAUGGCUUCUUUUUAACCACCGGAGGCGACUUCCUCGUGUCAAUCAGUGUGUUUGCUGUUGUGAAAAAAGUACUUCCGAGUUUAAGUGCCAUCUCGUCUCCUAUCCACGAAAGGACUCUGGCGCCACUCGGUAAUUCUGCUUUUUCUCAGCGGCAUGUACCAGCAAGGUCGCGACGACGCUCUGAAAUGGAGUCUGCUGGUGGCCGCUACGUCACAGCUGGCAAGUGCUGUCGGGGUUGCAUCGCGUCACGUAGGACAUUAGGCAGUAUAAUCGCAAGAGCUUGGUGGCGCAACCCACCGCCCCGUUCCAAAGAAGACGCCCAUAACAUCCAUCCAUCCAGGCAAGAGAAGCCAUGAGUAAGAUACCUUGGGAAUUUUGUGCUCAUAACAUUCUGAAUCAGAUGCCACACCUCUAAAAUCACCUUAUCUCUUAAUGUGCCCACCAAUUUGUACCACUUUAUAUUUUCUGGCUCAUUUGAACGUCAAACAUGAAGUCAAGGACUCUGGCAAUUUUAUCGAGAGACAUACGCCUCGCCUAAGAAUAAUAAAAUAAAAUGCGCUUUGACAUAUACAUCGCGCGUCGAGUGGCAGUUUUCGGUAUUUCAAAAAUAAACAUUGAACCACACUGAAAAUCACCUUGUUUUUUCCUGUCAGACGACAUACAGGGUGAAAUAAUUGCUUUAGUGAAAACGUGACUUUAUCGCCUGCGAGUUAGAAAUACAAUAAACGAACAUGGCGUUCGCAGACAAGUCUGCAGCAGUUUCAUGGAAUUAGUGUACUUUUAAUUGUGAUUUGAUAAUUAUACCGAUUUCUAUCGAACGAGUGACUUUUGCGGUGCUUAAAUGGACUUUGGCCAACACCCACUAAGCAAUUGGUUCAGGCUGAUCCGUACGAAAGUCAUUGCAGAACGUUUGCUACGUUUCUAUUGUCUUCUUGUUGCCUUCGAUACAUUUUUUGUUCAGAUGCAAUUGAAUUUAAUGCAAGACUUUGCACGGGAAUGCAGGUGGAAAAUUUUUUAUGCUGUUUCAUUAUUUUUCUCAUUCGCACGUUCUUUUCUUUAUUUAUUUAUUUAUUUAUUUUUUGCACGUAGCUGUCAUGACGCUUAACAUUUCUGUGAUCGCCACCAGAAGGCGAGCUCAUUUUCAGUAGUUCUGGAUGUUGCCUAUGCAAUGCAGGAAUGCUAAGUGGCAUGCGGUAACAUGCAAAUGUGUAGCUUUCUAUUGAUUUAUUAGCGAAAGAGCAAACAAAAGCACUUUAAUUAAUUUUUAGAAUUAUCUCUUCCAUCGCAUCUACAUUACAUCUCAUGACUUCGAAGUAUUAACCCGGAAUCUGCGUUAAUAAUUCCAAGGUAUGAGAUGUAAUCACUUCCUUCUGUACUCGACGACUAUAAUUGUUUUAUAACUGUGAACUACGCGGCAUGCCUUAUAGCAAACGUCCUCAAUACUAUAUUUUUUAUGUUUUGUCGUUUUCUCGCUACAAUAUUUAUCUCUCUCCAGUAUGGUCCGUACUACUGGGCAUUACUUGAAAGACACCAGAAAAAGAAUGUGCGGACUCCAAGCGCUUUGGAGAAAGACUUAGGCGAAGUUUUCAUUGGUGUUUGCGAGAAAUGCCGCACUUGCUUAGCGACCACUUGCACGUACAGAGCACAUGACCAAGUUGUGCACAUCUUCGCAGCAACCGCCCCACCUAGCAUAUAAGCGUGUGGCGCUCGAUCAUACACUUUCUCAGGCAUGACAACAAAUGAAUGAUGAUGACGUAAUAAUGACGAUGGAACGACCGUGACGACAUUACGAUGAACGGCGGGACCACAAUAUUACAGUGGCUAAAUUGGUAGGUGUGCCGACCAGCGUAGUUCACUGCCCCUCCGCGUCAUGACAGCAGGACUGGCGCUGCGGUCAGAGGCCUGUCACGAAGCGCACGUCGUCUGCUACUGAAUCGGUUGU